rnacentral:rRNA from 1 species
ACCUACGGGAGGCAGCAGUGGGGAAUUUUGCGCAAUGGGGGAAACCCUGACGCAGCAACGCCGCGUGAGUGAUGAAGGCCUUCGGGUCGUAAAGCUCUGUCAGUGGGGAAGAAAUGGGGCUGGCUAAUAUCCAGUUCUCUUGACGGUACCCACAAAGGAAGCACCGGCUAACUCCGUGCCAGCAGCCGCGGUAAUACGGAGGGUGCAAGCGUUGUUCGGAUUUAUUGGGCGUAAAGCGCGUGUAGGCGGUCUUUUAAGUCUCAUGUGAAAGCCCCGGGCUCAACCCGGGAAGUGCAUGGGAUACUGGGAGACUUGAAUACGGGAGAGGGUAGUGGAAUUCCUAGUGUAGGAGUGAAAUCCGUAGAUAUUAGGAGGAACACCGGUGGCGAAGGCGGCUACCUGGACCGAUAUUGACGCUGAGACGCGAAAGCGUGGGGAGCAAACAGGAUUAGAUACCCCGGUAGG